rnacentral:rRNA from 1 species
GACGAACGCUGGCGGCGUGCUUAACACAUGCAAGUCGAACGGAAAGGCCCUGCUUUUGUGGGGUGCUCGAGUGGCGAACGGGUGAGUAACACGUGAGUAACCUGCCCUUGACUUUGGGAUAACUUCAGGAAACUGGGGCUAAUACCGGGUAGGAGCUCCUGCUGCAUGGUGGGGGUUGGAAAGUUUCGGCGGUUGGGGAUGGACUCGCGGCUUAUCAGCUUGUUGGUGGGGUAGUGGCUUACCAAGGCUUUGACGGGUAGCCGGCCUGAGAGGGUGACCGGCCACAUUGGGACUGAGAUACGGCCCAGACUCCUACGGGAGGCAGCAGUGGGGAAUAUUGCACAAUGGGCGGAAGCCUGAUGCAGCAACGCCGCGUGCGGGAUGACGGCCUUCGGGUAGUAAACCGCUUUCGCCUGUGACGAAGCGUGAGUGACGGUAAUGGGUAAAGAAGCACCGGCUAACUACGUG